CAGUAGCCGCGGUAAUACGAAGGUCCCGAGCGUUGUUCGGAAUCACUGGGCGUAAAGGGAGCGUAGGCGGCGUGGUAAGUCAGAUGUGAAAUCCCGGGGCUCAACCCCGGAACUGCAUCCGAUACUGCCAUGCUAGAGGAUUGGAGAGGUAGCUGGAAUUCUUGGUGUAGCAGUGAAAUGCGUGGAGAUCAAGAGGAACACUCGUGGCGAAAGCGAGCUACUGGACAAUAACUGACGCUGAGGCUCGAAGGCCAGGGUAGCGAAAGGGAUUAGAGACCCCGGUAGUCCCUGUCUCUUAUAC
rnacentral:rRNA from 1 species